rnacentral:lncRNA from 1 species
UUCUGGUCAUGACCAAAGGUUUUGGGGAUGGUUUGGCUGGAACAGAGGAGCUCGCAGCGAGUAUUGUGAGUUUGGAGGAGGAUGAGAACCAAGCUAGUGGCUAAGUCAACUGAAGAAGUUGAAACCUACAGGACACGUGGAAGUGGUGGGAGAUCCAACGUGGCCUAUCUAUCUUUAUUUAAUUUUAGUAUUUGUUUUUGUUAUGUAAUUAUGUUGAUUUUACCUUGGUCCCCACUUUGUUUGGCCAUGGUAUAUAUUGUACCUGCAUGAAGUUGAAACCCUAAGCAUUAUGAAUUAUCUCUCAUCUGAUCUCGCCUCCCUCUCUUCUUAAUUCUUCUUCUUCUUCUUAUCUCUCUCUACUCAUCAAGAUCUCUUUUUUUACAGAAAGUUUACUAUCAAAAUCUCAUAACAAUUACAAUUCUUAGCUUAUCUAUUACAUUGGUAUAUCAGAGCUUGGUUUUUGCUUCUCUUUAGCAAAGAUCGGAGCUGGGCAUGGCAGACGGUACGCGUGUUAAAGAGCUGCAAGAUGCGCAUAAAAAAUUGGAUCAGCAGCUGCAAGCAGAAACAUUAAAAAGAAAUGUUAGUGAACAUCAGUUGAAGGAGCAGAUCAAAGGCCUUGAUCUGAAGAUAGACAGCAAGUAUGAUCAGAUGGCUAAAUCCUUGGAAGAAAUCAAACAACAUCUCAUGAGUUUGAACAAAGGGAAAGAAACUGAGAGUCCAUCUAUUCUGGGUCCAACGCCAUUUACAGCAAAGAAUGGAGGUAAUCCUUCUAAAUCCAGUAAUUUCUCUUCGGGAUUUAAGUCAGAUUACUCUACUCAAUCUGGUUCGAGUUCAGGAAAUUCUUUUCAUAGAGUUGAUUUUCCUAAGUUUGAUGGUACUAAUCCUAGAGCCUGGAUAAUCAAGUGUAACACAUAUUUUAAGCUAUCGGCGGCUAUGUCCGAUGAAAACAUGGUCCAACUGGCUGUUCACAAUUUUGAGGGUAAAGCCCUCCAAUGGUUACAGAAUUUCGGGUGUGAUCAAUUGUUUGCUAUUAAUUGGGAGCAGUUUCUGGAGGUGGUAGCUAUUAAGUUUGAUGACUUGAAUGAGGGGAAGAUAGUAAUGGAGUUCAAAAAUCUUAAACAAACAGGGAGCUAUGACAGUUAUGUGGAGAAGUUUGAGGAACUCAGGGCAUGUUUGUUAUUGAGCAACAGCAUGAGUUAUGCCGAAGAAUACUUUGUAGCUAAUUUUAUCAGUGGUUUAUCUGAUGAAAUGCAAGGCUUCCUGCUUCUAUUCAAACCAAAAACUCUAAUGGAAGCUAUUGAGAUUGGUAAGCAACAGUUGUUUACCUUGGAAGCCUUAUCAAGAAGAGUCAAGCCAUCUCAGAAACCGUUUCAGAUGCAGGGAAGUAACUAUAAGAGGCCUGAGGCGACAGUUGUACAUAAACCAAACACCCCUAACAACACCAAAUCAUCAAUCAAGCUGCUCACUAGUGCAGAGAUGGCUGCACGAAGGGAGAAGGGGUUAUGCUAUAAUUGUGAUGAGAAAUACAUAUUUGGACAUAAAUGUAAGCACAAGAUGUUUUACAUGACAAUGGAUGAAGAGCAAGAGUUAGCUCACUUGCAACAUGAAGAUGAGGAAAUAGAAGUAGUGUUUGGGGAUGACCAGCCAGUUGAUGAGGUUUAUAUGACCAUGGAAUCUCUAAUGAACAGUCCAAACUCUACUACUAUGAGAGUUGUAGGUGAAGUUGGUACUAAGCAGUUAAAGAUACUUGUGGAUACAGGGAGUACUCUUAGUUUUCUAAGAGAAGGCAUGGCUAAGGAAUUGAAAUUGUUCCUUGAAAAGGAUAGGCCUAUCGUUGUUAAGUCAGCUACUGGGCAUAAGUUGAUAAGUAGACAGAGGGCUCAAGAUUUUACGUGGACUAUCCAAGGCCAUCAGUUCACCUUCUCACCUAGAAUCUUAGGUAAUGAAGGGUAUGAUUUAAUUCUUGGCAGUGAUUGGUUGAAGUUUUCGACCCCUAUUGGUCUAGAUUAUGACAACAUGACCUUCACAGUGUUUACUGGAGGCAAAAAGGUUAAACUGCGGGCUGUUACUGACACUGCUCAAUUUCAGAUGGUGACCACAAAUGGGUUAUAUCAGUUAGUACAUUACCACAGUGAUGAAAUUGAAGAAAUGUACCUGCUUCUACAUCAGGAAAGUGUUGCUCAGUAUCCAGUUUCUACAUCUAUUUCUACCCUUUUGGAGGAUUACAAGGAUGUCUUUGAUGAACCACAAGGACUACCACCAAAAAGGGGGGUUGAACACCAGAUUGUACUCAAACCUGGUAGUGUACCUAAACACCAGUUUCCUUACAGAACAACACACAGUAAUAAGGAUGAGAUUGAGAGGAUAGUGAAGGAGUUAUUGGAGACUGGUAUAGUUCAAAACAGCAGGAGCCCUUUUGCUUCUCCAGCAAUAUUGGUUAAGAAGAAGGAUGGUUCUUGGAGAAUGUGUAUUGAUUAUAGAUAUCUAAACUCACUCACUGUUAAGCAUGAUUACCCUAUUCCUAUCAUUGAUGAACUACUCGAUGAGUUGUGCGGGGCUAGCUACUUCUCUAAGCUAGACUUGAGAUCAGGGUACUUCCAGAUUUUAAUGAAGGAAGAAGACAGAUAUUUGACAGCUUUCAGCACUCACCAUGGGCAUUUUGAAUUUUUGGUCAUGCCUUUUGGCCUUUGUAAUGCUCCUGCAACAUUUCAGUCUCUAAUGAAUCAAGUGUUUCAACCGUAUUUGAGGAAGUAUGUAUUGGUUUUCUUUGAUGACAUCUUGGUUUACAGUCGAAAUUAUGAUGAGCAUCUAUUACACCUCAAGGCUGUGUUGGAGGUACUCAGGUCAAAUAUUUUAUAUGCUAAAAUGAGUAAGUGUCAGUUUGGUGUGCAAAGUAUUGAAUACUUGGGCCAUAUUAUUUCACAGGAUGGGGUAGCUACUGAUCCACAAAAGGUAGAUAGUAUGCUUAACUGGCCUAUGCCUAAGACAUUAAAACAACUCAGAGGUUUUCUAGGGCUGACUGGGUAUUACAGGAAAUUCAUUAGGCAUUAUGGGGUGAUGAGCAGGCCCCUUACUGAACUUCUGAAGAAGGACAAUUUUAAGUGGUCUCCUGCAGCUACUAAGGCCUUUGAAGACAUAAAACAAGCUAUGGUUUCAGCGCCAGUAUUAGCACUACCUGAUUUUACUCAACCCUUCACAUUGGAAACUGAUGCUAGUGGGGUUGGAGUGGGAGCUGUUUUAAUGCAAAAUCAGAAGCCAAUUGCUUUUAUGAGUAAAGCCCUAAGUCCUAAAAAUCAAUUGCUAUCAGUUUAUGAAAGGGAAUUCCUAGCUGUCAUCAUGGCUGUUCAGAGAUGGAAGUCAUAUCUUCAGGGCCAUAAGUUCUACAUUAGAACUGAUCAACAUGCAUUGAGGCACUUGUUGGAUCAAAAGAUAAUGAACCCUAUACAACAGAAGUGGAUUACCAAACUUUUGGGGUUGAACUAUGAGAUCCAGUAUAGGAAAGGAGUUGAAAACAAAGCAGCUGAUGCCCUUUCUAGAUAUCCUAGAGAUGAAGAAAGUUGCUGCUCAAUCACUACUGUCACUCCUAUAUGGAUGCAAAAGGUUAAGCUAAGCUAUGAGGGGGAUACAUAUUACUCUCAGGUUCUAGUUUCUAAGCCUGUUGACCCAUCCACUUAUGCUGAUUAUACUGUGGUUGCUGGAAUUAUUCAGUAUAAGGGAAGAGUGGUGGUAGGAUCUGCCACUGACCUUCGGCAGAUUAUCUUAAAUGAGGUGCACAGCACACCUUUUGGAGGGCACUCUGGCAUAUGGGGUACUUACUCAAGGCUCAAAUCUUUUUUCUAUUGGCCCAAUAUGAAAAGAGAUGUGGAGGCAAUGGUACAACAAUGUGACAUAUGCCAAAGGAACAAGGCUGAACAUGUGCAAUACCCUGGUUUACUCCAACCUUUACCUAUUCCGGAUAAGUUUUGGACCCAUAUCACCAUGGAUUUCAUAGAGGGGUUGCCUAAAUCUUUUGGAAAGGAUGUCAUUAUGGUGGUGGUGGACAGGUUAAGCAAGUAUGCUCAUUUCAUGGCCUUAUCUCACCCCUUUACAGCUCAAGGUGUAGCUAAGUUGUUUAUGGAUAAUGUCUACAAACUGCACGGGCCCCCAAUUAGCAUUGUUUCUGAUCGGGAUAAGGUUUUCACUAGCCAAUUCUGGAGGGAGUUGUUUAAAGCCAUGGGUACUAAACUGGAGAUGACAACGGCAUAUCACCCUCAAUCCGAUGGACAGACUGAAAGGGUAAACCAAUGUUUAGAGGGAUAUCUAAGGUGUAUGGCUGGUGCUACCCCUAAACACUGGGUAAAGUGGCUAUCUCUUGCAGAAUAUUGGUACAAUACCAAUUACCAUAGCAGCUUAAAAUGUUCUCCUUAUCAGGCUCUCUAUGGGUUACCACCACCCCAUACCGGACUAGGCGCCUACUUGAGUUCUCCUAAUCAGGAGGUAAAGGAGUGGCUCUCUCAGAGACAGGCCAUGGUCAGUGUAUUAAAGAAAAAUCUGGUCUUGGCUCAGGAACGCAUGGGUUUUUAUGCUAACAAGAAACGGACUGAAAGAAGCUUUGAAAAAGGGGAUUUUGUGUACCUCAAAUUGCAACCCUACCGGCAAAAUUCUGUCAUUCUGCGGAGGAAUUUGAAACUGGCUGCGAAGUAUUAUGGCCCCUAUCAAAUUGAAGAAAAAAUUGGUGAGGUCGCUUAUAAAUUACAUCUUCCUGAAUUUUCUAAAAUACAUCCUGUAUUCCAUGUCUCCCUGCUCAAAAAGUGUGUGGGGAAGGACGUUGUACCUUCGAGGGAACUCCCUGAUGUCGACGUCGAUGGGCAUUUCAAGGUGGUUCCUUUUUCUGUUCUGGAGUACCGCACCGUCUCUAGGAACGGGAAGUCUGUUCAGCAAGCCCUUGUCCAAUGGACUGAAACGAGCGCCGACGCGGCUGAGUGGGUAGAUCUGAAACUUUUGCGUCGGAAAUUCGCAAUUCCUGAUCCUUGCGGUCAAGGAUCUGGAAAUCAGGGGGGUAAUGUCACGAACAAGGAAGAUGGAAUGGAGAUUCUGGUCAUGACCGAAGGUUUUGGGGAUGGUUUGGCUGGAACAGAGGAGCUCGCAGCGAGUAUUGUGAGUUUGGAGGAGGAUGAGAACCAAGCUAGUGGCUAAGUCAACUGAAGAAGUUGAAACCUACAGGACACGUGGAAGUGGUGGGAGAUCCAACGUGGCCUAUCUAUCUUUAUUUAAUUUUAGUAUUUGUUUUUGUUAUGUAAUUAUGUUGAUUUUACCUUGGUCCCCACUUUGUUUGGCCAUGGUAUAUAUUGUACCUGCAUGAAGUUGAAACCCUAAGCAUUAUGAAUUAUCUCUCAUCUGAUCUCGCCUCCCUCUCUUCUUAAUUCUUCUUCUUCUUCUUAUCUCUCUCUACUCAUCAAGAUCUCUUUUUUACAGAAAGUUUACUAUCAAAAUCUCAUAACAAUUACAAUUCUUGGCUUAUCUAUUACA